rnacentral:piRNA from 1 species
UCUAGAACCCUUUAUGACAGUUGAUAGGC